GGUAAAAUGGCUGAAUUAGGUGAUAAAUUGUAAAUUUAUUUAUGGGGUUACCCUUUUACCA
rnacentral:tRNA from 1 species